UUGCCUUUUCUCAUCAUGGCUACAAACUCUUCAUAGUUAAUUCUUCCAUCUUUGUCAGUGUCAACUUCUGCAAUGAUCUCUUUUAUUGUUUUUGGGUCGCCCAUAUUAUAUUUGUUAAGGGCAUUCUCCAACUCUUCCAUUGUGAUGUACCCGCACUGGUCCUUGUCAAAAUAUUCAAAGGCCUUGUAUAAGUGGUCCUCUCUUUCCAU
rnacentral:misc_RNA from 1 species